rnacentral:sRNA from 1 species
AUGUACCACUGGUACACAGCGAUUCCUGCGCGCCGUCCGCGCCCUUCUGACGGUGCGCGCUCCGUUCUGCAGCC